rnacentral:lncRNA from 1 species
CGUAGGCUCAGUAGACUGGACGGCAAGCCCCAGGAAUCUCCUAAGUGACCUGAGCUGUGUCAACCAGCACCACAUGUCUCCUGGGGUUCAGAUGAAACUCUCUGCUUUUGUUUCAUUGCUUUAAGGAGACGCUAUCCCAGGAUGGUCUUGAACUCACAGAGCUUUCUUCCUCAGCCUCCUAAGUGCUAGGAUGACAGGUUCCACAUGGCACUGGGAUUUGCCUAAUUCCAUAUGGAAGGAGUUUAUUAAAGGCGGUUUUACACUUGUGCUCAUCUCGUCGUGGCCUCCGAGUGCAAGAAUUACAGGCAUCCAGCCUGGUGCCCAGCCUUUGACACGGUUGUUAAGGUGGAACAAGGUAAAGUCCAGAGAAAGGUUCUGGUUGACAAGAACCGCCUAAGCCAGCCACCAAAGAGACCAGGUGACUUGGAGAUUCCAUUUUCUGUCACGCAUUUCUAGCAACUGUUUUUCUUCCCUUUCUCUUCCCCAUCUCCUUCCUGUCUGUCUGUCUGCCUGUCUUUUUUGAGUUUUUGUUUUGCUUGUUUGUUUAUUUGUAGGUUUGUGUUUUUUUCUGAGACAAGGUCUCCUGUAGCCCAGGUUAGCCUCAAACUCAUUAUGUAGCUGUGGGCAACCUUGACAUUUGACCUUCCAACUUCCACUCCUGGAACUUCCACAGGUGCCUGACCUGUCGCUCUAAUCUUGUUAAGACCAAACCUUGCUUUGGGCCAAGUCCUGUGGAAGACUGAGCAUGCAAAAAGAAAGAAUGAAGUUAUUUGGAGAAAGUUACUACAUAGAUAUGGAUUUGGGGGCAUGACAAUAUGAAUAUUUUGAGACUAGUUCACAAAAAGUCACAGAAUGGAUACCUCACUGCCUCAUCCACUUAACUAUUGGCUGAAGGAAUAUAACACAACUCCUAAAAAGGACUUUUGUUCUGGUUCUUGCAGUGGGAAGAGGGAGAGAGAGAUUGUGAAGGCUAUCUGGGUAAUUUCCCUUCCCUUCUCUUGGGCUUGUCUUCCUGUGAUGAAUCCUCUGGGAAUGGCCUCCCCUGAUGUCCACGUGGCAACUCAGACAAAAUGAAACACGCAUGGAGCGAUUUUCUCAUGGCAUCUUAGUUCCUGUUCUAUUGCAUGACCAUGGCAACUCUUAGAAAGGAAACAUUUAAUGGGGGCUGGCUAACAGUUACAGAGGUUUAGUCUGUUAUCAUCAUGUCAGAGAGCAGGGUUGCAUGCAGGCAGAUAGGGUGCUAGAAAAAAAGUAGGUGAGGGUUUUACAUACGUAUCCUCAGGCAGCAGGAGGGGGAGGGGGAGAGGAGAAGGAGAGGGGGAGUAUGGGCAGGUGCUGGCUUUGAAACCUCAAACCCCACCCCCAAGUGGUACACCUACUCCAAAGAGGACACACCUUUUAAUCUUCCGGGGGACAGCUAUCAACGAGAGUCUAAGAAUGCAAAUAUAUGAGUUUAAGGGGGCUGGGGGCUGGGGGUAAUCUUAUUCAAACCUUGAUACUUGGGUUGUUUGGCUCAAGGGCAACUGUCUCUGACUCUGAAGAAAAACAACAACAAUCAAUGCCUCCAGCUAGAUGGCAGAGAUGGUACCCCUCCAUCUCCCUCCAAGGGAGGGGGAUCUUUUGGUACCAAGACAGGAGAUAUUGUGACCCAUCUCCUGGCCUUUCAAUGGAUGAAGGAAGAGAAGGUGGGGGCUGGGAAAGAAACCUCAUCUUACUCAGUGGGACCAGAGAGGGUCGGACAAAGACACGGAGUUGGGAGAGCAAAGAGACAGAAGUGAGCCACAGCAGAUCUCAGUGCAACCUAAAAGCAGCUCACGGAUGGGCUGAAGUACAGGGGCAGUGGAUGUGAUGACUGAAGGCUACAGAAGUCGCAGAAGCUGGACCACGAGGGUUUCCAUGCCAACCUAAUGAGCUCAGGCUUCAUCUUCUGGGUAAUGGCAGCUGGACAUUUAGAGAGGAAUAAUCUGGAAAGGGAUUUUUUGCACUGUUGUGGUGGCAGAAGAUGGGCAGGAGCAUUAGAGGGGGAAGGAAAGCAUUCCCCAGUUUUUAGGGGAGCCGCGAGAACUGGAAGGCAGGAGAACAUGAGGUCUUGGAUAAAGAAAGAGGGAGCCAGGGCUCACACACAGAUUUCUCUCAAAGCUACCAUGGAAGAAGCGUGUCUCCAUGUGCAGUUGGGAAUGGGAGAGAUUGCCAUCCUGUUGCUAUUCUAUUUCCCUUUCAUUUAGUUUGGACAAGGGAGGCCACACUCCUUCAAUAAGGCCUUUCUUUCCCCUAGCCGAGUGGGUCAUUCACUGAAGUCGGUGGCAGGAGAGCUGACAGGAGGGCUGAGGGCCAGGGAGAUCAGGAAACAUGGAGUGACGACUCAGACUUGAUGCUUGCUAAACAGAGCUGGGCUGAACUGGGAGGUAGCAGCACCUGCCCUGUCCCAUGUCCGUGUCCUGGGUUUCAGAUGCCCAGAGCCCUGGCAGAGGCCUAGGCCUGGCCUCUCACUCACCCAGUGGGCAGUGAGAAGCUGUCUCCAAACCCAGGGAGACAGAGGCAAAAAAAUAAAAUAAAAUAAAAUAAAAUAAAAUAAAAUAAAAUAAAAUAAAAAGCAAAACCAGCAUCCCAGGGAUAGGUUCCGGGUUCUAGUAUGCAAUGGGGGGUAGGGGGAGUGAUUUCAUCUCAGGCGUCUAUAUACCUUUUUAUGAUAGUGGGAUUCAUUUGUCUCUGUUUUCAAGAUGCCUGCUCAUUUCAGACACUGAAAGAUCUUCAGUGUAAAAAAAGAAGGUCACCAUGGCCCUCACCUCUCAGGCUGUGUCCCAGAAUAGAAGUGUUCAUCCUCUAAUUUCUGGUUAGAGGCUAGCUCAGAGUCCGAACCCUUGGCUCCCUUCCCAACACUUCAUAGCAUCUGGAAAGAGGGAAAUCCCUUCUAGAUUUCUUUCUUCACUUUUUAAAAAAAAAUUGUUUUUGGUUUUUAUUUCAUUUAAGUGUGCCCCGCUCCCUUCUCUUACAUUUUCUCCAUUUCUCUGUCUUAUACAAGACAGGAGGCUGACUCUUGAAAUCCCAACAUUAGGAGGCUGAGGCAAGAGGAUUGCUGGGUUCCUGGGAAAUCUGGGCUAUAUAGCACAUUCCAGGCCAGCCUGGGCUACAGAUGCUAACUCAAAACCGCAGCAGCGAAUCUCCUUGUCUGUCUGUCAGUCGGUCUGUCCCUACAUAUCCCUAUCAUUCUGUCUUGCUCUUGCGUGUUUCUUUCUUUCUUCAAAUUUCAAAGAAAACCCAGUGAAUAACUGACUAUUCAGGACCUGCAGAAUGAGGCCUCUUUGGACUGGUCUGUAGUCAAAGCAGUCCGCACUUCUAAAAGGGGGACUGCAGGCUGAUCUACCCAAAGCAGAGCAGUGGCUGGGGCAGCAAUGUUUCCUGCACUGAGACUGGCCAUCUGUAUGCAAAUCUCAGAGACCCGGCAAACUUGCAUCAGCCUGGCUGGCCUGGCAGGCUGGGCCUCAGCAAUUACCAGAGC